UCAAGCAUCAAAGUCCUAUCCCUACUGAAUGUUGCAGGAUAUAAAGCCCUAGUCAACAGUUACUUCUUCAACGUGGCGUGUCUUGCUGACUCAUGCCAUUAAUGGAAAUGAAAUGUGUAUUCCAAUAGAGGAGCAGCUGACGCCACUUCAACAAAUCAUCAGGAACAACCAGGAGACGAAGACUUGAUUGCGAUCGGAUAAUUAUUUUAUUUUACAUUGUAUCACAAUUGUUUUUUUUUUUGUACUUUUCUUUUAUGAUUGUCGAGUAAGAAUAGAGUAUAGAGACAUACUUUCAUGUGAAUGGCCGGAACGGAAUAGGGACAUUCCGUCUAACAGGAAGGCCGUCUGUUAGCAUUUUAAAAAUCAAAUUAUGAAUAUUAUUAUAAUAGUGGUAUAAAAACAUAAUUAUAUAUAUUUUAAAUGUAUCUUUGAUUGGUAAAACAUACUGUUUAUUCUGGCAAGACGUAAAACGGAACGUCAUAAUUAUUGUAAUCUGUGGGUGGAUAGAAAAACGACAACUGUGGAGUGAACGGACGUUAGCGAUUAAUUAUUAUAAAAACAUAUAUGUAAAGAUUCUGAUUACAUGUUGUUUAAUCUUCA